AUGAUCUAUGGCCAUGCUAUUGAUCUACCGCUGCAGGGAAAUCAUGCUGUGGAGGCUGCCUUGCACAGCCGCGUGCAGCUAAGAAAAGUGAACGCUGGUGCCAUCUUCUCUCUGUAUUGCCCAUGUGGAAAGUGGAACGAGCCCCGUUCUAGAAGUUGGGAAGACAUAUUUGGAGUUCUUUUUGGUCUUUGUGGGUUGAAAAGUAUGCAGGUCAAUGUUGCAUCAGAUCUGGCAAUUUGUAUAUAUGCUGAUUUGUUUGGCACUAAUCGCCCAACAGCAGAUUGGUUGCCACACCCAACUUGCCGAUGA
rnacentral:rRNA from 1 species